rnacentral:lncRNA from 1 species
UAUUACAUUUUUUUAAAACAUAAUCCAAAAAUUUUGCCAAAUGUGUGUAUUACUGAUAACUAAGUAGGUUUCAUGUCUUUCUACAUGUUUAUGUGCCAUUUGGAUGCCUUCUUUUGGUUAGCUGUUUGUCCAUUUUCCCCUUGGGUACCUGCUUUUUUUUCCAUUGAUUCAUGUGAGAUUUGUAUAUUACAGAGCGUUGGGAGUGAGGAGGGCUCUGUUCCAUGCAGUCAUUCAGAAACCCAGGCUCUUCUAGUCAGUAGUUCUAUUACCUCCUGGAACCUUGGAAUCCUUCACCAGAUCCUCCACAUUUGGCCAGCAUCUGAGGAGAGACAUAAUGUAAGAGGAGGAGGAUCAUGUGGAAAGUUUUACAGGAGUCAGGCCUGUAUAUCGGUGCUGUAUAUCGGUCACUUCCGCCUAAAUUCCAGUGGCCAGAUGCCAAUUAUAUGGUCCCGGGGAAAUACAACUGAGGUUCGGAAAUAUGCUCAGAGCGCUCACGAUAAAAAGGACAUUGGUUUGGUGAACCCAAAGCACUGUCUCUGCCAUAUAUCCCAUGAUCAUGAUGAUAGAUGAUAUUCUCCUUUAUCAUUUUCUAAAAGCUUUAUAGUUUUUCAGUUUACAUUCGAACGUUUAAUUUGUAGUUAUUUUUGGUGUGAAUUAGGCAGCUGAUUUCACAUGUUAAUUAAUUUAGAUGUCCAAUUUUUCUACCAUCAUCUUUAAAAAUCUGUCCUUUCUUGAUCCAUAAUGUGGCAUUUAUCAUUGAUCAAGAGUCAAUAUUUGGGUGAGUGUAUUUUAAG